UACCAGCACCCCGAGUGGUCGGGACGAUUAUUGGGCCUAAAGCAUCCGUAGCCGGUUUUACAAGUCCCCCGUUAAAUCCAGCUGCUUAACAGAUGGGCUGCGGAGGAUACUAUAAGACUAGGAGGCAGGAGAGGCAAGCGGUACUCAGUGGUAGGGUAAAAUCCGUUGAUCCAUUGAAGACCACCAGUGGCGAAGGCGGCUUGCCAGAAUGCGCUCGACGGUGAGGGAGUGAAAGCUGGGGAGCAACCGG
rnacentral:rRNA from 1 species